rnacentral:lncRNA from 10 species
CGUUUCACUCCUGCCUCAGGCCUCAGCCACCACAGUAAGUGGAACUCUAUACCUCCACCUCGCCUGGCUGGGUGGAGCCUCUAAACUCAGGAUUCUGCCUUGAGCUGUGGCUCUCCCCUCAGGUUGACAGGGUCCAGAGCAAAACCUACGGAAGAAGCUGCAGAGGCCAGGUGGAGGGAAGGAUGCUGAACUGGAGGAGGCCAGGAAAUUAUGAGGUACACCAAUCAAACAUAGUGUGUCCAGAAUGGUGAUUCUAAGCACAUUAAAAUCUGGAUGACACUUAUCUGAAUCAUUUCGCAACUUGGAGAGAGAUGGAGAAGACACGCAUGGUGUAACUGGGCAUCACCAGGUAAUGAACUUAUACAUAAACCUUACAUCUGUGGCUGUCUUCCUGCUGGCAAAUCCUUUUCAUUCCAAGCAAAUAAGAUUCCCUAAAUUAGACAAAAAGGAAGAAACACAACAGAGUCCAUAAUUCUGAGAGGAAGAGAAGAGUGAUCAUCAGCAGCAAAAGGCAAUUGCAGAGAAGCACCACCAAGAGCCAGCUUCAUGCUCAGGAGUGAAUGCUGAGCCGCCUCCUCGUGGUUUCCGGUGCUCCACAUGUUCAGAGAAACUUCUCUGCUUAAUUUGCAGGCCCCCAGGUACUGAACUUAAGAGGACAGAGGAAAAGUUUUUCCUCCCUGACACUGAGCAACCAGAGGCUGCUGUUAAGUAACCUUCCCUCAUUUCUACGUCUGUCCUCUGCCCCUUCCAGCCCCUCAACCCACAUUGUCUCUCAUGUUCCUAUUCA